CGCCGUUAACGUUGCCUUUGGUAAACCUGCCUACCAAACAGACACCAACCGUCCAUAUACGGCGGACCGUAACGUUGGCGAAAAUACGAAAUCGCGUUUGAUUGAAGACCAGUCAUGCACCCUCACAGCGUCUCACAACGUCUCAUGAUGGGUGAAUCUCGAGCAGAUAUUCCUCAUCCGAAGCGUCAAGAUUUACAAGAGGAAUGUAGGACGUGUUAGACUUAGAGACGUCGAGCUUUACGUCGGGUUAUCGGAGGCCGGCUUUCAAUCUCUUGAAGGGUUUCACCCUGGAGAGGUCGGCGUUUCAUACACGUUUGAGCUAGCUACACCGGUGUACGGACAGUGGGUACGGAUUACGCGUAGCACUCCUAACGAUGUACUCACUCUGUGCGAGGUUAAGGUGGAAGGUGCUCCGUACUCUGCAGCCAAUGGCACACGUUAUUCGGUUUUCCAAGGAUAUGUUCACAUUGGCACUGCAAUCGACGUUUCCGCGAAGGUCCUGUCAAAUCUCCUCUGCGCAUCAAGCUGUUCCAAAACAGAGAACUGCAUGUUUCUUAUUUAUACUUACUAUUUAUAUUUACUAUGCCAAAUAAGUUGUUUGGCUU